CGGGUGAGUAAUGCCUAGGAAAUUGCCCUGAUGUGGGGGAUAACCAUUGGAAACGAUGGCUAAUACCGCAUAAUGCCUACGGGCCAAAGAGGGGGACCUUCGGGCCUCUCGCGUCAGGAUAUGCCUAGGUGGGAUUAGCUAGUUGGUGAGGUAAUGGCUCACCAAGGCGACGAUCCCUAGCUGGUCUGAGAGGAUGAUCAGCCACACUGGAACUGAGACACGGUCCAGACUCCUACGGGAGGCAGCAGUGGGGAAUAUUGCACAAUGGGCGCAAGCCUGAUGCAGCCAUGCCGCGUGUGUGAAGAAGGCCUUCGGGUUGUAAAGCACUUUCAGUCGUGAGGAAGGUGGUGUAGUUAAUAGCUGCAUUAUUUGACGUUAGCGACAGAAGAAGCACCGGCUAACUCCGUGCCAGCAGCCGCGGUAAUACGGAGGGUGCGAGCGUUAAUCGGAAUUACUGGGCGUAAAGCGCAUGCAGGUGGUUUGUUAAGUCAGAUGUGAAAGCCCGGGGCUCAACCUCGGAAUAGCAUUUGAAACUGGCAGACUAGAGUACUGUAGAGGGGGGUAGAAUUUCAGGUGUAGCGGUGAAAUGCGUAGAGAUCUGAAGGAAUACCGGUGGCGAAGGCGGCCCCCUGGACAGAUACUGACACUCAGAUGCGAAAGCGUGGGGAGCAAACAGGAUUAGAUACCCUGGUAGUCCACGCCGUAAACGAUGUCUACUUGGAGGUUGUGGCCUUGAGCCGUGGCUUUCGGAGCUAACGCGUUAAGUAGACCGCCUGGGGAGUACGGUCGCAAGAUUAAAACUCAAAUGAAUUGACGGGGGCCCGCACAAGCGGUGGAGCAUGUGGUUUAAUUCGAUGCAACGCGAAGAACCUUACCUACUCUUGACAUCCAGAGAACUUUCCAGAGAUGGAUUGGUGCCUUCGGGAACUCUGAGACAGGUGCUGCAUGGCUGUCGUCAGCUCGUGUUGUGAAAUGUUGGGUUAAGUCCCGCAACGAGCGCAACCCUUAUCCUUGUUUGCCAGCGAGUAAUGUCGGGAACUCCAGGGAGACUGCCGGUGAUAAACCGGAGGAAGGUGGGGACGACGUCAAGUCAUCAUGGCCCUUACGAGUAGGGCUACACACGUGCUACAAUGGCGCAUACAGAGGGCAGCAAGCUAGCGAUAGUGAGCGAAUCCCAAAAAGUGCGUCGUAGUCCGGAUUGGAGUCUGCAACUCGACUCCAUGAAGUCGGAAUCGCUAGUAAUCGUGGAUCAGAAUGCCACGGUGAAUACGUUCCCGGGCCUUGUACACACCGCCCGUCACACCAUGGGAGUGGGCUGCAAAAGAAGUAGGUAG
rnacentral:rRNA from 1 species